AACGAACGCUGGCGGCAGGCCUAACACAUGCAAGUCGGACGGGUGUAGCAAUACAUCAGUGGCGCACGGGUGAGUAACGCGUGGGAACGUGCCCUUCACUACGGGACAACGUCGGGAAACUGACGCUAAUACCGUAUAAUGUCUCCGGACCAAAGAUUUAUCGGUGAAGGAUCGGCCCGCGUCUGAUUAGCUAGUUGGUGAGGUAAAAGCUCACCAAGGCGACGAUCAGUAGCUGGUUUGAGAGAAUGAUCAGCCACACUGGGACUGAGACACGGCCCAGACUCCUACGGGAGGCAGCAGUGAGGAAUCUUGGACAAUGGGCGCAAGCCUGAUCCAGCAACGCCGCGUGCGCGAUGAAGGCCUUCGGGUUGUAAAGCGCUUUUUAAGGGGAUGAGGAAGGACAGUACUCUUAGAAUAAGCCUCGGCUAACUACGUGCCAGCCGCCGCAGUAAGAC
rnacentral:rRNA from 1 species